rnacentral:rRNA from 1 species
AUUGAACGCUGGCGGCAUGCCUUACACAUGCAAGUCGAACGGUAACAGGUCUUCGGAUGCUGACGAGUGGCGAACGGGUGAGUAAUACAUCGGAACGUGCCCGAUCGUGGGGGAUAACGGAGCGAAAGCUUUGCUAAUACCGCAUACGAUCUACGGAUGAAAGCAGGGGACCGCAAGGCCUUGCGCGGACGGAGCGGCCGAUGGCAGAUUAGGUAGUUGGUGGGAUAAAAGCUUACCAAGCCGACGAUCUGUAGCUGGUCUGAGAGGACGACCAGCCACACUGGGACUGAGACACGGCCCAGACUCCUACGGGAGGCAGCAGUGGGGAAUUUUGGACAAUGGGCGAAAGCCUGAUCCAGACCAUGCCGCGUGCAGGAUGAAGGCCUUCGGGUUGUAAAGCUCUUUCAGCAGGAACGAAACGGCCGACUUUAAUAAAGU